ensembl:lncRNA
AUGUCCAACCUUAAUAAGGAGGAUGCAGGUUUUGUGCCUUCAAAUCUGGACAGUACAUCAAUACCAUUUAUUGACUCUUCACUGUCUGAUAGUGAUGCUUACCAGACACCCCCAGAUAGCCCAUCUGCAGAUAAAUCUGUUCAGUACUCCAACACUGAGUCUAAAAUUACUGACUCAUUCAGUCCUACUCCGAAUAUGGAAACUGCAGCAAGUACAGUCACAUGCAUAGUCCAUAAAUCAAACAUUGAUCUUAACCCGAGUGGUGUUUCUCUUAGGGAUGAUCACCCUUUCUCUGAUUUUGAAACAUCUAAAUCAGGAAUUUCAGCAGAUGUUGAGGUCAACACCUUCACCUCAGACGUUACUCCUAAUGAAGACGAAAUUAUCUUUCAGAAAGAGUCACACCUGGAACAUAAAGAAUCAAAAGAUGUAACCUCUGCCAUCCUCUCUAUCCACGAGAGUUCCACCUCUCUCAUGCCUGAGAGUUCCAUCUCUUCCAUUCCCCAAAGUUCCAUUUCUUCCACCCUCCACAGUACCACCUCUGUCAUCCUUGAUAGUUUCACAUCAAACAAUACCGUGACCCAGAGUUCCAGCUUAAACUCAUAUUCUGCCGAUACCCUUCCAGAACAUUCCUCCAGUCUUCCACCUUACAUUAUAUCUACUGAGGCAGAAGAUUCUCAAACCAGCCCUGCAAAUAACAGAAACAUGUCUGCCAGCAAUGGUGAUGUAGUCAACACUGAUACAGUUUCAUCUGUGCCAGAUGUGAUUGUAUCUAGUACUUUAUCAUCCUCCAAAACCACAGAGAACAGUUUGGAUGCUGAUAAUGAUAAAAAGCCAAUUUUAUCUCUCUCAAAUACUGAUGUUUCUGAAAGUGAUUUAAGUUCAAUACCUAAAAGUUUACCCACAAUCACUGUACAUUCCACUUCAGAUUCAAAUUUACUGAAAGAAACUAACCCUAAGAUUAAUUGUGAGACCAUUUCCAUGGAAGCUUAUGAAACAAACAAUGAUUUUUCCUUGACAUAUGCCAUUGGCUCAGUGAAACCUAGCCUUGCUGAACCUGUCCUUCUUGAGAAUGAGUCAAAUAUCUCUUUACCCCAGUCAGCUGUGUCAGGAACCUACACCCUCAAUACAUCAACUGUCACCUUUGACCUUUCAGGUUCCUCAGACCUCAUCAGCCCUGACCAUUCCCAGAGAGGUUUCUCUAACAAUAUGUCAUAUUCAGAUGUGGAAACCCUAAGUGAAAUAUCAGAACAAGACCGAAUAAGUCAGAAGAAUGACCAAGCAAAAUCGACCAAUGCUUCUGAAACUUCCUCCGAUUUUCCAGAUAGUGGUAUCUCCUGCACUUUGCCCUCUGAAGUCAUACCUGCCUUCAUAAUUCAGCCUCUCCCUCACUUAGAUGUUUCAGACCAGCUGUUCAGCUCUCAAACCCCAAAGAGAGAGGUAGACACACAACAGACAACAUUCAAAGAGUAUGAAGAUCCUGAGGAAGAUGUUCAGGAGGCAUCUAUUCAAGUAAGUCAUGAGUUGAUUGACCAGGCUGAAAUCACAGCAGUUCUGACUACUAGAAAUGACCUGCAGAACAAAUGUGGACCAGGAGUGGAGGACAGAAGUAGAUUAGAUGAUAUUUAUGAUGAAAGUCAUGACAUUACAUCUGUUCAAGACCCUGAAUCAGAGCAGAUCAUAGAAGGCCAGGCUGAAACCACAGCUGAGAAUAUGGACACUGGAAAUGACUUUCACAUGUCUGGAAAGGAGAAAUAUGGCCAAGAAGUUGAGGAACAAAGUAAAUUAGGUGACAUUUAUGAUGAGAAGUAUGUAGUUCCAUCGAAUCUAGAAAAAGACACCGGAUCAGAGCAAAUCAUGGAUGUUUUAUCACAAGAGCAAAUGUUACAUUACAAGGUUUCUGAAACAUAUGAGUUGGUUGAAGAGAAGAGAAAUGAAUUGAAAAUGGUCCAAAGCACAAGAGAAGCAUCUGCAACGCAAGGUGCAAUGGAAGCAGAGGUAUGUGGAGGCACCGAAGUGUUGACAGGUCAAGCAGAGCAGCAGAUUCACCGUCUUGCUCUACUGAAACCAGCCCUACCAGUCAAUCAAGAAUGUAGCCCUGAAGAAUGCACUUCGGCCCCUCCCUUCUCUGAGCCAGUGAAGGUAUCACUUGCAAAUUCAAGCAUGGAAACACACAGUCACAUGGAGAUUUGUCUCCACCCCUUGGCCCUACACCAGUCAAGCGGAGACAUAACAAUACUGGAGGACACGGCAAGGUGCAAAUACCAAACAAGCAUUGAUAACCACCACGCUGAGAAGGAGGAACAUACCAGCGAUGAAGAGACUUUGGAUAUAGCCACAUUUCUCCCAAAAACACAGGACAGUGAAAGUCAAGAACACAGCAGUGAGAAGAUCUCCACUUCACACAUCACAGAGGAGACCUUCGGACACACCAGAGACACGAGCCACAAACAGGGAGAGGUGACAGUGACAAAGGUAAAGAUAGCCAGUGAUUAUAUCACUCAAAGGCACUGGGUAGAAAACAGCGAAAGUACACCAGACAACAAAAAGGAAAAGGAAGAUACAGCAGAAGUUAACGCUCUUCCUGAUCAUCUACUUUCAAGAAGUUUAAUAACAGGUGAAAGGUGA